AAGUCGUAACAAGGUUUCCGUAGAGAACAAAUGAUUCUUUCGCUAAGACAUUUGCUGAAGCCUUGAAGAGCAGUAGUCAUCCUUACUGCUAGUUCAACUUAUUGUUGAGCAACAUUGCCAAAUUGCGGGAAAGUCUUAAUGACUUCGCUACCAAGUUCAAUAGCGUACUCUGAAUGGCCGGCUUAAUACACCGGGUAGGGUUAUAAUGCGAAGUAUGUUACAAUAGGCAACCUGCAGCCAACUUCUACAUUGUAGGAUGCUGUUCACAGAUCAAAUGGCAGUGGGUGCAUCAUGUAAGCUAAUGAUGCGCUUAAGAUAUGAUCGGUCCUUAUUGCGAGAGCUUAAGGUAGAAAACGU
rnacentral:ncRNA from 1 species